AUCAUCAUCCAUACACUAGAGGUUUUGUACUUGACACUUCGUGACUACUUUGACUAGAUGAAUCCCCAAAAGUUGAUUUUCUUUUGAAAAAUUUUUCCAUAGCUGAAUCA